UACAGAGGUCUCAAGCGUUGUUCGGAUUCAUUGGGCGUAAAGGGUGCGUAGGCGGCGCGGUAAGUCGGGUGUGAAAUCUUGGAGCUUAACUCCGAAACUGCAUUCGAUACUGCCGUGCUUGAGGACUGGAGAGGAGACUGGAAUUUACGGUGUAGCGGUGAAAUGCGUAGAUAAUCGUGAAGGAAGACCAGUGGCGAAGGCGGGU
rnacentral:rRNA from 1 species